rnacentral:rRNA from 1 species
GACGUAGGAGGCGAGCGUUGUCCGGAAUCAUUGGGCGUAAAGAGCGUGUAGGCGGCUUGGCAAGUCUGACGUGAAAGCCCGCGGCUCAACCGCGGAUUGUCGUUGGAAACUGCCUCGCUAGAGUCCGGAAGAGGAGAGCGGAAUUCCUGGUGUAGCGGUGGAAUGCGCAGAUAUCAGGAAGAACACCCGUGGCGAAGGCGGCUCUCUGGGACGGUACUGACGCUGAGACGCGAAAGCGUGGGGAGCGAACAGG